AUACCUGCUUCGGCAGUACAUAUACUAAAGUUGGAACGAUACAGAGAAAAUUAGCAUGGCCCUGCGCAAGGACUACUCAGUAUGAUAAUGCUACUGUUUUU
ensembl:snRNA U6 U6 spliceosomal RNA